GUGAGCUAGGCGCGGCGGGGCGUUUUAACUAUCUUGCUCGGGCGCGGUGCUAGCGGGAUGUGUGGACUGGUUCGCAUGUGUGCAGUACGUUUGUUUGCUCUAGUGUGUUAGGGUGCGUGUGUCCCACCUCUCUGAUUUCGGACAUCCUGUGUGUCGAUGCAUCCCGCACUUUCUUCGCUGAUGCCGGCUGCCUUGCAACACGAACACACGUAACAUACCCUGGUGUUGCAAUUCGGUGCUGGCUGUUUGCAGUCUGGAGAUGUUGGUGGCAGGAGUGUUGCGCCAGUGUAUGAUUAGCUCAAAUGCGUGUGUACCUGCCUGACUUUGCGGGGUGAACACCCAACCAUUUUUCACCACACAAAUUGCGCGUGAGCGCCCGAACCGGACAUGCGUCGCCAUCAGUGCGGGGCAGGCUAUGUGCGCGCCAAGCAAGCAAGCAAGCACCAGUCUACUGCUACUGAUAGCAGAGUGUGUACAUCGACAGACGAGGCAUGGAGGAAUGGUGCGCAGCCCCAGGCGGCUCAAAGUGGUGGUGACGGGGGAGGCACGGGCAGGCUGACUGGAGCACACACUUCCUACCUGGGCUCCCGGCGCAAUGUCCUUGUGCCUCCCGGUGUACAGUAAAGGCUAUCCUGUAACAGAGAUGCGGCUGUGUCUGCGCUGGGGCGUUUCUAGGGUAAGGCGAAAUGCUGGGAGAGCGAGCACUGGUCUGCACGGCCGGAACUGGUUCCUCCUGUGCUUGGGCUGCCGACCAUUCGCACAGCAGCCCGGGCCCCCGGCCUCUGCAGCCUCCGCAGCAUCUAGAGCAAUUAUAGACAGCGGUAGCUAGCUGCCGGACCUGUGAGCGCUGGUGCCUUCCCCCC
rnacentral:lncRNA from 1 species